rnacentral:rRNA from 1 species
UACGUAGGGUGCGAGCGUUGUCCGGAAUUAUUGGGCGUAAAGGGCUCGUAGGCGGUUUGUCGCGUCGGGAGUGAAAACGCCGUGCUUAACACGGCGCUUGCUUUCGAUACGGGCAGACUAGAGGUAUGCAGGGGAGAACGGAAUUCCUGGUGUAGCGGUGAAAUGCGCAGAUAUCAGGAGGAACACCGGUGGCGAAGGCGGUUCUCUGGGCAUUACCUGACGCUGAGGAGCGAAAGUGUGGGGGGCGAACAGG